rnacentral:rRNA from 1 species
UUUAACAUUGUGGUUGAUAUGUUAGCCAUCUUGAUAGGAAGGGCUAAGGAGAAUGGUCAAGUGGGUGGCUUGGUACCUCAUCUGGUUGAUGGAGGUGUAUCCAUCCUUCAGUACGCUGAUGAUACAAUCAUCUUUAUGGAGCAUGACCUGGCCAAGGCGAGAAAUAUGAAGCUGGUGUUAUGCCUUUUCGAACAAUUGACCGGGUUAAAGAUUAACUUUCAUAAGAGCGAGCUGUUCUGCUUUGGUAGAGCCAAAGACGAACAGGAGGCUUAUAGGCAAUUGUUUGGGUGCGACUUGGGGGAUUUACCUUUCUCUUACCUAGGUAUUCCAAUCCACCAUCGAAAGCUGACCAAUAGAGAAUGGAAGUGCAUCGAAGACCGGUUUGAGAAGAAACUG